rnacentral:rRNA from 1 species
UACGUAGGUGGCAAGCGUUGUCCGGAAUUAUUGGGCGUAAAGAGCGCGUAGGCGGGAUACUAAGUCUGCUGUGAAAGAGCGGGGCUCAACCCCGUUAUGCAGUGGAAACUAAUAUUCUUGAGUGCAGGAGAGGAAAGUGGAAUUCCCAGUGUAGCGGUGAAAUGCGUAGAUAUUGGGAGGAACACCAGUGGCGAAGGCGACUUUCUGGACUGUGUCUGACGCUGAGGCGCGAAAGCCAGGGAAGUGAACGGG